rnacentral:rRNA from 1 species
AGUGAACGCUGGCGGUAGGCCUAACACAUGCAAGUCGAACGGCAGCACAGUAAGAGCUUGCUCUUACGGGUGGCGAGUGGCGGACGGGUGAGGAAUACAUCGGAAUCUACUUUUUCGUGGGGGAUAACGUAGGGAAACUUACGCUAAUACCGCAUACGACCUACGGGUGAAAGCAGGGGAUCUUCGGACCUUGCGCGAUUGAAUGAGCCGAUGUCGGAUUAGCUAGUUGGCGGGGUAAAGGCUCACCAAGGCGACGAUCCGUAGCUGGUCUGAGAGGAUGAUCAGCCACACUGGAACUGAGACACGGUCCAGACUCCUACGGGAGGCAGCAGUGGGGAAUAUUGGACAAUGGGCGCAAGCCUGAUCCAGCCAUACCGCGUGGGUGAAGAAGGUCUUCGGGUUGUAAAGCCCUUUUGUUGGGAAAGAAAAGCAGCAUGUGAAUACAUCGAUGUUCUGACGGUACCUAAAGAAUAAGCACCGGCUAACUUCGUG